rnacentral:rRNA from 1 species
GUGAGGAAUAUUGGUCAAUGGGCGAGAGCCUGAACCAGCCAAGUAGCGUGCAGGACGACGGCCCUAUGGGUUGUAAACUGCUUUUAUGCGGGGAUAAAGUUCACUACGUGUAGUGUUUUGUAGGUACCGCAUGAAUAAGGACCGGCUAAUUCCGUGCCAGCAGCCGCGGUAAUACGGAAGGUCCGGGCGUUAUCCGGAUUUAUUGGGUUUAAAGGGAGCGCAGGCCGGAGGUCAAGCGUGACGUGAAAUGUAGCCGCUCAACGGCUGAACUGCGUCGCGAACUGGCUUUCUUGAGUGAGUUCGAUGUGGGCGGAAUUCGUGGUGUAGCGGUGAAAUGCUUAGAUAUCACGAAGAACUCCGAUUGCGAAGGCAGCCCACAAGGCCUUUACUGACGCUAAAGCUCGAAGGUGCGGGUAUCGAACAGG